CACCGCAAGACAGGGUUUGAGAUGGAAGUACAGAACCAAUUAAAGAAAGAAGCGAAAACUAGUGAGCGGAGCAGUUAGUAUAUAGAAAAAGAAGCAUGUCAUGGUUAUUAAAGUUUGUGAAGGAAGGACAACCAUAUUUGGCAGCGACGUUGUUGCAGUUUGGAUAUGCAGGAUCAGCCAUAAUAGCUAAGUUUGCUUUAAAUCAUGGCAUGAGCCAUUUCACCUUUGCUGUCUACAGAAAUGCCUUUGCCACUAUUGUCUUCGCUCCUUUUGCCUUGCUCUUGGAGAGGAAAAUAAGGCCAAGAAUGACUCUAUCCAUUUUCAUGAAGAUUAUGCUGCUGGGCUUAGUGGAGCCUGUCAUCGACCAGAACUUGUAUUACACAGGAUUGAGAUACACUACUGCAACUUUUGCAACCGCAAUGUGUAAUGUGCUUCCAGCCCUCACCUUUUUGUUGGCUUGGAUAUUAAGGCUUGAGAGGGUGAACAUUAAGAGAAUAGCAAGUCAGGCCAAAAUAGUGGGAACAAUAGCGACAUUUGGCGGUGCCAUGAUUAUGACACUGAUUGGAGGACCUACAAUUGGAUUGCCUUGGACAAGACACCACGUCAAUAUUCCAUCUUCUACUUCUACUAGUAGUGUUUCUACUCAUGAGCUACAACCCAUUAAAGGUGCCCUCUUCAUCGCCGCAGGUUGCAUCUGUUGGGCCGGCUUUUACAACCUUCAGGCAAUUACAUUGAAGACAUACCCUGCGGCAUUAUCACUCACUUGUUUCAUAUGCUCGUCCGGAGCACUGCAAGGCGCUGUUCUGACCCUUGUGGCUGAAAGGGGCAAUACUUCAAUUUGGGCCAUCCAGUGGAAUACUAAAUUGUUAUCUUACGUUUAUAGUGGAAUGGUCACUUCUGGAGUCGGCUAUUAUGUCUCUGGAUUGAUAAUGAAGGAAAAAGGACCGGUUUUUGUAACUGCAUUUAAUCCUUUAAAUAUGAUUAUCGUCGCAAUUUUGGGUUCAUUCAUUUUAUCCGAGCAGCUAAACUUGGGAAGGAAGGAUAUAAAUCAUAUCAACUUUCUCUGUUAUUGUAAACGAAAAGGAACAAGUCUACAUCCAUUCGCCCCUUACUUCAAAUGGUAACACAUUUCAAGAAGAUAAGGAGAAAAAAAUUGAUAAUAAUUGGAACUUUGAAGAGACAAAGAAGACCGAAAGGAAGAAAAUGAAAGAUAAGUGCAGAGUAGAGUUUUCAAUUUUGUUGGUAUAGUUGGCAAGCUUAAAUUUCAAAAAUUCUGUUUGAUAUUCUUCUUCUUCUUCUUUAUUUUAAAUAUUAUUUUAUUUCACAACUUUUCUAUAGUUAAUUCAAUUGUAUGCAAUUUAUGACUGUCUGAUUUUAUCUCAGACAAUCGUAAAAUUGGAACAUGACAUUCCAUAAUGAAAAGUUUAGAAAAAAUAGUUUAAUAUCA